rnacentral:rRNA from 1 species
AACUGGAGGAAGGCGGGGAUGACGUCAAGUCAUCAUGGCCCUUACGGCCAGGGCUACACACGUGCUACAAUGGUCGGUACAAAGGGUUGCUACCUCGCGAGAGGAUGCUAAUCUCAAAAAGCCGAUUGUAGUCCGGAUCGCAGUCUGCAACUCGACUGCGUGAAGUCGGAAUCGCUAGUAAUCGCGGAUCAGAAUGCCGCGGUGAAUACGUUCCCGGGCCUUGUACACACCGCCCGUCACACCAUGGGAGUUUGUUGCACCAGAAGUAGGUAGUCUAACCGCAAGGAGGA